UACGAAGGGGGCUAGCGUUGCUCGGAAUUACUGGGCGUAAAGCGCACGUAGGCGGUCUUUUAAGUCGGGGGUGAAAUCCUGGAGCUCAACUCCAGAACUGCCUUCGAUACUGGAAGACUCGAGUCCGGGAGAGGUGAGUGGAACUGCGAGUGUAGAGGUGAAAUUCGUAGAUAUUCGCAAGAACACCAGUGGCGAAGGCGGCUCACUGGCCCGGUACUGACGCUGAGGUGCGAAAGCGUGGGGAGCAAACGGG
rnacentral:rRNA from 1 species